rnacentral:rRNA from 1 species
UACGGGGGGGGCAAGCGUUGUUCGGAAUUACUGGGCGUAAAGGGCUCGUAGGCGGCCAACUAAGUCAGACGUGAAAUCCCUCGGCUUAACCGGGGAACUGCGUCUGAUACUGGAUGGCUUGAGUUCGGGAGAGGGAUGCGGAAUUCCAGGUGUAGCGGUGAAAUGCGUAGAUAUCUGGAGGAACACCGGUGGCGAAGGCGGCAUCCUGGACCGGUAUUGACGCUGAGGCGCGAAAGUGUGGGGAGCGAACAGG